UCGGCCGCUUGUACUCGUGAUCUCGUUCUUUCGGUCAUGAGCCAAAUCUCAUGACCAUAGGUGAGGAUCGGAACGUAGAUUGAUUGGUAAAUCGAGAGCUUGAACUCAUAAACAUUCGUUAUUUGUAUGCUUUGGUACAUGUGUUUGCUACAUUCUGAUAACAUUUCAAGAAAUUGUACUAAGCUUCCCAAAAUUCCUCCUUAAAAUGUGAGGAGUUGAUGUCAGAAUGUGGACACCAACUCAUGAAAAUGCAGUGUCUAGAUUUGUUAAUCAAGGGCCAUAACUUUUCCAAAAUUUGUCAAUCUUGUACAAUAUUACAAUAUGACUAUUAACAAGGAUUUGUACCAAGUUACAAUAAAUUCCUAAUAAAAAUGUGAGAGGAGUUGAUUUCAGAGUGCUUGCACCCUUUUUGGGAUGGACGGACGGAAAACGUCAUGACAUAAUCCUCCUUCGGGCCUUCAGCCGGGGGGGAUAAAAAUGUAUUGUGCAAAAUAUCCAAGCAUCUUGCCUCAAUAGUUUACAUAAUUGCUUUGCCAUUUUAUUGUUAAUUUUCCCUUAAAUAUGUUUUUGUAUGUAUUUCAAUAUAAUAAUGUGUAUAAGGGAUAGAGACCUGUGAGACAUACAAAAACAAAUAUUGGCGCUUCAGUCAUUUUUAGGGAUCAGCAUAUUCAUUCUUUUUUUGUUUUCUUGAACUGAGAGAUGUUAAAAUACAAGUCAUAAAUUAAAUAAAUAAACUCGGCGUCGCAGAUUGGUCUGCCCUGCCUCCACUGCGCGUGCGUCAUUUCUAAGUUUAGCAGCUCGUCUAAGAGUGUCUUCACCCUAAACAAUCAAAGGGAAUAUUGUCAUUACUAACCAUCAGAUGACAAGGUAAAAACACUUAAAUCAUUCUAAAGUCAGUUUUAAGUAGAAACAAGGUCAUUUUAACCAAAAAUGAGGCAAUACUCUGACACUUUGAAAUGACCCACGUGCAGUGAGCGCAUCACCUAGGAGCUUGUGUAGCUGCAGCACUCUGACCGCUUACUCCAUCUUUUAUGAUGAAAUAAUGCUGAAUUUAUGUGGAAAUGAUUGUUGUACAAAAGCUUCAGAUAUCUGUCGCUGAGAUAGAUGAUGACUGGAGUGCAGUUUUAAGCAGAAACGAGGUGUUAAUCAGUGAACCUUGGCUAAUGACGCACGUGCAGUGAAGGCAGGGCAGACUGAUUUUUAGGGAGGACCAUUCGGUCGGCGACACCGGUAAUCAAGUGAUUUCAUAAACUAAAAAGUGACAAUCAUCACAUUAUCAAUUCUCUAAUGGAAGCCCUUGACAUGAAGAAAACACUCUGAGACCGUUUCUAUAUAUUUUUAUGAAUACUUAAAAGAAUUUCUAAAAUUUUAAAAACAAGAACAAAGACAAAAGGUUGGUGAUGUUUCCAUAGUGAAGUUCACAGAGUACACUACAUCUCUUCGAGUGAGGUGGAAUAUUAAAUCUCAAACACUUAAUUUUGCUUUGACGAAAUGUGUCUCAGU